UAGCAGAUUUUUUGAUAGUCGUAAUUAAAUAUUUUGGAUAGAUUUAAUUUUUGAAUGAAACACUUCCUUCUCGUUCAUUGCAUUAUCUGUUGCACUUCAAAUGCACAUAUUUAUGUUUAUCUGUUGUAGGGUUGCCAUACAACAAGUAUUAUUCGAAAUUGUAGGUAUUUUGGCUGUCAUUCCAGGAAAACUUUGUAUAGUUUUGAUAUACUUUAAGUAUUGAUUUUUGGAAAAUAUAAUAUUUUAGAGACAUGAUAACAAAUGUUAUCAUAGGUUUUUUAAGGCUGUUCUGGAAUGAUAUUUGUUAGGUUUUGUUUACUUCAAGGUCUGAUACAGAAACUGGAGUAAUUUUCAUUUAAUGAAUUAGAGUAUUUUAUUGUUUAUUCGUUUGCCACCCGGCUUUUGUUUUGGGUCCUUUAAAUUCGAGAUCAUUCAGUGCGCCGUUCUUUCUGUGACGAGAUCCUCUUGUAUAGUGAUCGGACGGCCGUAUAAGGGCCUGGAGCCCGGCAUGCCACGUGCUGCCGUGGCGUUCCAUAUUUUGUGUGGUGCGUUCUGUCAGUCUGACUGGCAGAAACAUGCUAAGGGUGGGAGUGCUCCUUGGAGAUCCUCGGUCUGCAGUCUGCAGGUCUCCGGAGUCGGGAAGAAGUAAAGAAUUAGAGAAUUGCAGAAGUAGAUAAUUAAACAAGAACCUUUACAAUUUCGAUGUGCAAGGAAACUUCUUUGGCUUACAGGCG